rnacentral:rRNA from 1 species
UAGGGAAUCUUCCACAAUGGACGCAAGUCUGAUGGAGCAACGCCGCGUGAGUGAAGAAGGUCUUCGGAUCGUAAAGCUCUGUUGUUGGUGAAGAAGGAUAGAGGCAGUAACUGGUCUUUAUUUGACGGUAAUCAACCAGAAAGUCACGGCUAACUACGUGCCAGCAGCCGCGGUAAUACGUAGGUGGCAAGCGUUGUCCGGAUUUAUUGGGCGUAAAGCGAGCGUAGGCGGAAUGAUAAGUCUGAUGUGAAAGCCCACGGCUCAACCGUGGAACUGCAUCGGAAACUGUCAUUCUUGAGUGCAGAAGAGGAGAGUGGAACUCCAUGUGUAGCGGUGGAAUGCGUAGAUAUAUGGAAGAACACCAGUGGCGAAGGCGGCUCUCUGGUCUGCAACUGACGCUGAGGCCCGAAAGCAUGGGUAGCGAACAGGAUUAGAUACCCUGGUAGUCCAUGCCGUAAACGAUGAGCGCUAGGUGUUGGGGGACUUUCCGGUUCUCAGUGCCGCAGCA